rnacentral:lncRNA from 1 species
GCCGCAAAUGAAGAAACCUGAUGUUUUCAUUUUCUCAGAAAGCUUGGGAGCACAUGAAUGACUUCCACGGGGCUUUCUGAAUUGCUGGGGCCUUCACCCUUCCAUGUGGGACUCUCAAGAUGCAGGGAACCAGGAUGAGGAUGCCCAGCUUGGAGAUGGGCCCAUCGCAAAGCCUCACCCCAAAACAUGGACAACAGGAGCAGCGGAGGCACUAGGUCCUGUCUCCAUGUGGCAAGAAGACACGUUCAUCUGCAGACAGCUACAGUCAUCCAAAGAAGAGAGAAGAAGCUCCAUCUAGUUUGUUAAGAGAUGCAUUUCCAGGCUGGGUGUGGUGGCUCAUGCCUGUAAUCCCAGUACUUUGGGAGGCCGAGGCAGGUGGAUCAUUUGAGGCCAGGAGUUCUAGACCAGCCUGGCCAAUAUGGUAAAUUCUUGCCCCUACUAAAAAUCUAAAAGAUUAGCCGGGCAUGAUGGCGUGCAUCUAUAGUCCCAGCUAGUCGAGAGGCUGAGGCAGGAGAAUCACUUUGAACCUGGGAGGGGAGGUUGCAGUGAGCUGAGAUUGCACCACUGCACUCCAGCCUGUGCAACAGAGGUGUGUUUUAAAAUAAAUAAGUAAAUAAAAAGAUUCAUUUCCAGUGAAACUGAGCUUUUUAUGUUGAAAAAUUAUUUAUCAAAAGUUAUGAAAUAUUUGUUUUGAUCAAUUGCAUACUAAUAAUUGCAAUAAUAAUCCAGAUAAGCUUUUUCCUUUUUUUUUUUUCUUUUGAGACUGACUCUUACUCUGUCGCCCAGGUUGGAGUGCAGUGGCUCAAUCUUGGCUCACUGCAACCUCUGUCGCCUGGGUUCAAGCGAUUCUCCUGAUUCAGCCUCCCAAGUAGCUGGGAUAACAGGCUCCUGCCAUUGUGCCCGGCUAAUUUUUGUAUUUUGUAGAAAUCCUG